GGGGAAUUAGCUCAGUUGGUAGAGCGCUUGCAUGGCAUGCAAGAGGUCAGCGGUUCGAACCCGCUAUUCUCCACAA
rnacentral:tRNA from 2 species